rnacentral:rRNA from 1 species
UACGUAGGGUGCAAGCGUUAAUCGGAAUUACUGGGCGUAAAGCGUGCGCAGGCGGUUAUGCAAGACAGAUGUGAAAUCCCCGGGCUUAACCUGGGAACUGCAUUUGUGACUGCAUAGCUAGAGUGCGGCAGAGGGGGAUGGAAUUCCGCGUGUAGCAGUGAAAUGCGUAGAUAUGCGGAGGAAACACCGAUGGCGAAGGCAAUCC